AGAGUUUGAUCCUGGCUCAGAACGAACGCUGGCGGCAUUAACACAUGCAAGUCGAACGAGGGCUUCGGCCCUAGUGGCGAACGGGUGAGUAACGCGUGGGACCUGCCUUGGAGUGGGGGAUAACCACUGGAAACGGUGGCUAAUACCGCAUGUGCCCUGCGGGGCAAAGGCUUCGGCCGCUUUGAGAGGGGCCCGCGUCCGAUUAGCUUGUUGGUGGGGUAACGGCCUACCAAGGCUGCGAUCGGUAGCUGGUCUGAGAGGAUGAUCAGCCACACUGGGACUGCGACACGGCCCAGACUCCUACGGGAGGCAGCAGUGGGGAAUAUUGGACAAUGGGGGAAACCCUGAUCCAGCAAUGCCGCGUGCGUGAUGAAGGCCUUCGGGUUGUAAAGCGCUUUCGCCCACGACGAUGAUGACGGUAGUGGGGAGAAGAAGCCCCGGCUAACUCCGUGCCAGCAGCCGCGGUAAUACGGAGGGGGCUAGCGUUGUUCGGAAUUACUGGGCGUAAAGGGUGCGUAGGCGGCUCUCCAAGUCAGACGUGAAAGGCCUGGGCUCAACCUGGGACUGCGUUUGAGACUGUGGAGCUGGAGUCCGGGAGAGGUGAGCGGAAUUCCCAGUGUAGAGGUGAAAUUCGUAGAUAUUGGGAAGAACACCGGUGGCGAAGGCGGCUCACUGGACCGGUACUGACGCUGAGGCACGAAAGCGUGGGGAGCAAACAGGAUUAGAUACCCUAGUAGUCC
rnacentral:rRNA from 1 species